AGUGAACGCUGGCGGUAGGCCUAACACAUGCAAGUCGAACGGCAGCACAGUAAGAGCUCGCUCUUACGGGUGGCGAGUGGCGGAAGGGUGAGGUAUACAUCGGACUCUACUUUUUCGUGGGGGAUAACGUAGGGAAACUUACGCUAAUAUAGCAUACGACCUACGGGUGAAAGCAGGGGAUCUUCGGACCUUGCGCGAUUGAAUGAGCCGAUGUCGUAGUGGCUAGUUGGGGGGGUAAAGGCCUAGCAAGGCGACGAUCCGUAGCUGGUGGGAGAGGAGGGUCAGCCACAUGGGAACUGGGACACGGACAUUGCUCCUACGGUAGGCAGCAGUGUGGAAUAUUGGGCAAUGGGGGCAAGCCUUAUCCAGCCAUACCGCGUGGGAGAAGGAGGCCUUCGGGUUGUAAAGCCGUUUUGUUGGUAAAGAAAAGCAGCAGGUUAAUACCCCGCUGUUCUGACGGUACCCAAAGAAGAAGCACCGGCUAACUUCGUG
rnacentral:rRNA from 1 species